GCGCCACCGCGGCUUCCUCCUUGCUGUCGGUGUGGCGGAGCAGCAGCGGGGGGCGCGCAGCUCCGCGGCAGGACGAGGACGGCGGCUCCCGGUCCCGCGAGAGCAGAGAAGUGUCUUUGAAGAAACUUCCUGUGGGAAUGCCUAACGUCAGUGCAGCUGCACUUCUGCAGAUUUGCGUGCUGCUGUCUGCGCUUCCUGCGCAGUAUUUCAUAUCCCAGUGGUAUGGAACAGACUCUGCUCAGCGCAUCCAAAUAACAGAAAGGAUAAUUGUCUGGUGGAGCAGCUUUACAAAAUCUUAUUUGAGCCUGGAUGCAUGGGCAGACCAUUUAAAGCUCUGGCUAUCAAAGACAAGGAAGUGGUACUAUGGAGAAAAGAAAAUUAAAAGUGGAGAAAAUGAAGAAACAACCCAUUCUUACUUUGCAGGUACUGGAGUCUUACUUGGAUUUUGCUUGUGAUAUUGUAUUCUAAGG
rnacentral:lncRNA from 1 species